AUCUUUGAUUGCAUCACGUGAUGAAAAUUUUGAACCGAAAGUCGAAAAAAAUGUUUUAUUUUUUACUCUCCACCAAACGACAUUACAACUUAUAAUAAGUGACACAAAUUUUUAUUUGUUUCUGGAAAAUAUUCGCAUCCUGCAGAUGAAGACGACACGACUGACUUUAUUUGCGAUUUUGAUUGGUCAUCUUGAUCUUUCUCAACUAUCAAGUGCAGAGCUUGGUAAAGCCCAGCAAAGAGGAGAAGAUUGCAAGUGCAGUACCCAAAAUCCAGAUGAGAUCAAUCAAUAUUCUGUUGAGUUAGAUGUUAAAGGAAAGGAGGACAUGAUACUGAUGCUUGUGACAUUCAUGGUGUUCUUUUUCACUGGAGUCGCUAUCUUCUGCUGCCUUAAUUUGCUACAAAACCGAAGAAAAGCAGCGAGAGAAGCAGCGGGCCACAGAGCAUACCGUUUAUCGCAAAGAUUCGUAUAUCUCUGCAACCGCAGCCAUUAUGAGCCAAUCUAACCAACAACUAUGAAAAUCAGCGGAGAAUGACAUUAUAGCCAAACUUAAAUACUGCCAACCACUUUGUUUAAAUAUGUUAAAGCAAGAAAAACAUGUCACAGCUACUGGAUCUUAACAUCGCGGGUAGGUUUCUUUUCUCUACAAAAAUAAACCAUGAUUCAUAACAGUGACUUUUUAUAUACCAGAGAUUUUAUGCAAUUAUAAUCAAUUUAAGCAUGGCAAUAGAUGCAAACAUAUUUCUGUAAACAGAAUAAUCUAGAAAAUAAAAUCCCAUUAUUAUAUAUGAGACCGGCGUUUUCUUGCCAAUAGAAAACAUUUUUAAAAAAAUUCGAAGAAUUGUUAUAGUAACACCAUAAUGACAGCAAUUCCUUUGCUCAUACAUAGACAGAUUGAAUGACUCAGUAACUGUUUCCAAAAUAAUGUUUUGUCCAAUGAUUUUGUGACAAAUUUUAUAUUCAUUUGUAUAAAUUUGCCUUUGCGUUGAGCGUCUUUGGCGCACUGCACGAUUUUUACUUAUUUGUACACACUCUUCAUGGUCGGAGUUGUUCUGAUGUUUGCUAUGUUUUGGUGUAUCAGCGAAUAUUUAAUAUUUUUAGAAUCAGCCCAGAACAAAAUAGAUGCAGGGGAUGAGCAAACGCAGCUCGCAGAGAUUUUGCAACUACCAGCUCAAACCUGAGCGAUGAAACUCAACAAAAUCAUGCUGUAUAAUCUGGAUUUUAUUUACUGAUCAAAAUAUAUGUACAUUUAAAUUCAUACCAAAAUUAUACAUAUUGGAAGAUUUGUUUC